rnacentral:misc_RNA from 1 species
UUGGCUCUUUGCUUGUGCAACAACUAUCACCCGGCAAACCUCUUCAUUUGUGCGUCAAGGCUCGUGUCUUGGCGCAUUGUGGGUUUCCUGUGCUGCCUACCAAAGUGACGGUAUUGUGAGGAUUGAACCUUGUCCCUUUCGUCUUGUGUUACACUUGUGGUACGAGAUGAACCGUGUGAAGUAGCUUCUAUGAUCCGCAUUGUUGGCGUGCAUGUGUCAAUAUUGUGGUCCAUUAAGCUCUGCUUGGUCUUGAGAAUAUGGAAGCUAAUGUGGGUACGUGUUCUUCUUUUGAAGCGUCGUUAUACCCUUGUUUACCGUUCUCUAAAAUGACUUCUCAUCAUGUAGUGGCUCGUACCAGCAUGGUGGGUUUUGUCUAAGAGGAAUGCUACCUGGUUGAUCCUGCCAGU